UACGGGGGGAGCAAGCGUUGUUCGGAUUUACUGGGCGUAAAGGGCGCGUAGGCGGCCUGAUAAGUCGGGGGUGAAAUCCUGCGGCUUAACCGCAGGGCUGCCUUCUAAACUGUCAGGCUUGAGCACAGUAGAGGCAGGUGGAAUUCCCGGUGUAGCGGUGGAAUGCGUAGAGAUCGGGAAGAACAUCAGUGGCGAAGGCGGCCUGCUGGGCUGUUGCUGACGCUGAGGCGCGACAGCGUGGGGAGCAAACAGG
rnacentral:rRNA from 1 species